rnacentral:rRNA from 1 species
GUCUUUUUGAAAUAAAUUUAAAGUCUGACCUGCCCACUGAAAUAUUAAAGGGCCGCGGUAUUUUGACCGUGCAAAGGUAGCAUAAUCAUUAGUUUUUUAAUUGAAAGCUUGUAUGAAUGGUUGGACGAAAUAUUUACUGUCUCAUAAAAAUUUAUAUUUGAAAUUAAUUUUUUUGUUAAAAAGCAAAAAUGUUAUUAAAGGACGAGAAGACCCUAUAGAGCUUUAUAAUUUGAUUAUUUAAUUUUUUAAGAAAAUUUUAAAUUUUAUAAAGAUAAUUAUUUUGUUGGGGUGACAAUAAAAUUUAUAGAACUUUUAUUAUAAAUAAAACAUUGAUUAAUGAGUAUUUGAUCCAUUAUUAAUGAUUAAAAAAUUAAGUUACCUUAGGGAUAACAGCGUAAUUUUUUUUAAGAGUUCAUAUCGACAAAAAAGAUUGCGACCUCGAUGUUGGAUUAAGAGUUAUUUUUAGGUGUAGAAGUUUAAAGUUUAGGUCUGUUCGACCUUUGAAUUCUU